AGCCCCACUCUCAUCCUACUCUCAACUCUUUCCUGACUUCCUACAGUGGGUUUUAACGUCUCCUCAAAGUAGAAUGCAGAUGGAUUAUUGCUCAGUUUUGGCUAGGGAAGCUCCAAGUAGCCCCAGAAAGUCAAGGUGCCUGAUAAGUUACUGGAAGGCCACAGUGAACCUUCCAGUAGAAAGAGUUUCAAAUGAGCAUGAAUGCCUAAACUGCUGAUAUCCCUGUUGCGGCUCCAGAUCCUUCUGACUUAUCAACCCAGAGGUACCUAGUCUGAAGGAACCUCUUGUGGAACAUUGGCAAGACCCUUACUGAGCAGAAGCCUAGCA
rnacentral:lncRNA from 1 species